CCGCCGCCCGCGGCGCCGCCUGUCCCGGACUUGGCCGCGCCGCUCUCCUCGCCACUGCCCCAGUCCUCGCUCUGCAGCGUGGGCCGCCCGUCCAGAGAGAUGUUGGUGAGAAAGAACAUUAGGUCGAUUCACAAACAUGAUCCAGGUUGUCUAAGCUGGAGUCUUAGAGUUCUGUGGAGCAAGUAAGUGUACAUGUUCAAGAAAGUAAACUGAGUAAUGGAGAAAGGAAUACACCACCAGUCUUGUAACCAGCAGCCAACAAGGAGUGUGGCUUCAUGUUACAUUUGCCAAAGACAAACAGUACAUUCCACAUGGCACAUCCAGGCUCACAGGUUGCAGACAAAUAAGAGCAAAUAAAAGACAAUUGCUUUUAAAAAAAAUUGCCAACAUUUUCUUUUAUCUUUUUUUUUUAAGUAACCCUAACCUUCCACUUACUUUCUACCUUAGAAUCAAUACUGAUUCUAAAACAGAAGAGUGGUAAGAACUGGGCAAAGGGGGUUAUGUGACUUGCCCAGGAAAUGACUGAGGUCCAGUUUGAACCCAGAACCAGUGUUUAAGCCUAGCUCUCAAUCCACCGAGCCACCUUGCUGCCCCAUUUUAUGCUUUAAAAAAAUAUGGAAAGUUAAGUCUUUUUCCCUUGCCUAAGCACUGUUUUGGCAGCCUAAUCUCAUACUCUGGUGACCAGGAUCUAUGCAGUUUAGUCAGACAUUCAAUUCCUCUACUUGAGGAAACUACCUUGAAAUUUUCAAAGGUGCUAUUAUAGUUAACUUAAUUUACAUGACCCCUAACAAUCAAAUGCAAGGCCACAGAAGUGCUAAGUGAAUGAGUUUAACUGCUUAUUGUCUGUUUGUCAAUUUCCAUUUUUAUUUAACACCAAACAUUGGACACAUUUGUCUACACUGGUAGACACUUAAGCAGCCUCCAAGGGUGUUUCUGAGGGUAACUGGAUAGGGGAAGAGGCUCUUUUGGUUAAGGAAAGAUGGUUGGGGGUGGAAUAUUUAAAUACACCACUGUAUUUGUCCUAAUUUAAAUUCAUUUAUAUCUCACUUUGACUUAUUUCAAAUCUGAGGGUUUUUUCCAUAUUGAUUCAUUCAACAAAUAAUUAGUUGAGUAGCUAUUUUAUAUGUAACACCACUGUCCUGGGCCUCAGGGCUGGAGGCCCCAAGUAAAACUCUGUCCUGGGCUUUUGACUCCAGAGAUAUAAAAAAUGAUUUUUCAUUCAGUGGGAAUUUGUAAUUAAACAGCCUUAAAAAAAGAAAAAGUAUAAGAGGGUGGAUGGACCUUGUAAUCUUUAUGGUAUAGUAGGAAGGGCCAAAUAGGACACAAAUGAAACCAUUAUCAUACAAGACUAGAUCUGAUUAGAUGCUCAAAUUAUCAAUAGAGAUGAAGAUUAUGAGGAGUACAGAAAAGAGAAACUUUCAGGAGUAGCUAGAAUCAUAGGAAAAGGCUGUAGAGAGUUAGUGGAGCUUGAGUUAAGAAGUUAAAUAGGAUUUGAAUAUGUAUAGAUUCAACCUUUUUUGGGUCAUGGAAACCUUUGUUAGUCUGGUGGUCUAUGGACUCCUCAGAAUAAUGCUUUUAAAAAAAUGUAAAAAAUACAGACUAUUACAAAGGAAAUUAUUAUAUCAAAAUAUAUAUAUUUUUAAAUUUUAUUUUUAAAGCUUUUUCCAUGGCUACAUGAUUCUUGUUAUCUUCUUUCUCUCUUUCUUCCUCCUUCCUGGAGUUGUCAAAAUAUUUUAGAAAACAGGUUUACAGAUUCUUAGUUAAGAAAAUUCUGAUUCAAAGGAAGGGAAAAGACAUUUUAGGAAAAUCAAAUAACAUUCCUGUUUGGUCAUUAGCAAAGGAAAAUGAAACUUCUCUAUAGAUCUUUCUCUCUGGCUUUUUUUUUUUUAAACUACAAGCUUGUUUUCUGUGCCAUGCUAGGAGAUCAUUUCCAUCCAAACAAAACAAUUUGGUGAUUUUGACUCUCUAGUCUGGCUAAAUCAGGAGGGAGAAAAUGUACAAAACUGAUUGGCUUUUUUUUUUUUUUGAGUAAUAACUGACUUGACAGGCUAAAAUCCAGGGAUCAAACUCAGAAAACCUAAGAAAACCUUUUGAGGUAAGAGGCUAACACAUAUUAACAGCAAAAUGAAAACACAUCAUCUUUAAAACACACACACACACACAAUUAUACUUUACAUGGGCAGGAGCCAAUCAGUCAAUAAAUAUUUGUUAGUGUUAUUAGGUACCAUGUUAAGCUCUGAGAAUACAAAGAAAAGCAAAAAAAAAAAAGUCCUUGCUCUCAAGGAACUCACAGUCUAAUGGAGGAGGCAACAUGCAAAGAGCUACAUGUGUACAAAUUGGAGGUAAUCAGCAGAAAAAAAAGAGCACUAUCAUUGAAGGGGAUUGAGAAAGGCUUCUUUUAAAAGCACUAAGAAAAGGAAUUGUCAGCAUUGGCUCAAAUUAGAAAAUUAUUUUCAUUUGGGUUACACUAGACAGGUACUUUGGCUGCUGUUGGUAGGCCAGUGGCAUUCAUAUCAAAAGAAAUAGGGAGCACAAUAGUAUUCCAUCACCAACAGAUAUUUGUUAAUGAUGGAAUACUAUUGUGCUCAAAGAAAUAAUGAACUGGAGGAAUUCCAUGUGAACUGGAACGACCUCCAGGAACUGAUGCAGAGUGAAAGGAGCAGAACCAGGAAAAAUUGUACACAGAGACGGAUAUACUGUGGUAAAUUCAAAUGUAAUGGACUUCUCUACUAGCAGCAAUGCAAUGAUCCAGGACAAUUCUGAGGGACUUAUGAGAAAGAAUGCUAUCCACAUCCAGAGAAAGAACUGGGGGAGUAGAAACAGAAGAAAAACAACUGCUUAGUCACAUGGGUCAAUGGGGAUAUGACUGGGGAUGUAGACUCUAAACGAUCAUCCUAGUGCAAUCAUCAAUAACAGGGAAAUAGGUCUUGAUCAAUGACCCAUUUAAACCCAGUGGAAUUUCGUGUCAGGAGGGGGAGGGGGGUCGGGGGGAAGAACAUGAAUUAUGUAACCAUGGAAAAAUAUUCUUAAUUAAAUUAAAUUUUUUCAAUUAAAUAAACGAAAAGAAAUAGGGAGCAGAAAGUUUAGCAUAAGUCAAUCUAGUCAUGGAAUGUAGGGCUAGAAGGCAUCUGAUCCAAUUGCCAUCCCCCAUCCGCAUUUUAUAGAUGACAAGACCAAGGCCCUGUAUGUUGAUAUCUUCUGAUUUCUAUUCAAUCUGCUUUCCGGUAGGUUCAUAUAGUGCCUCCUGUCAUUCAUCUUGUCUAAGGAGACAUACACCCUAUCUAAGGAGACAAUCCUUCAGGUUUAUAAGUUCCAUGGGAAAAAGGAAAUAAGCAGUGGUAUAUUUGGUGACUGAGCAGUAUUUUAGUUGGCUAUUACAAAGUAGGGCAGCUAGUGUAAAGUGGACAGAGCACCUAGUCUGGAAUUGAGAAGACCCAUCUUACAGAGUUCAAAUUUAGGCUCCAACACUUACUAAGUGACUCUGAGCAAGAGGUUUUCUUGGCAAGAUACUGAAGUGGCUUGGCAUUUCCCUCUCGGGCUCAUUUUGCAGAUGACAAAACUGAGGCAAACAGGGUUAAAGUGAUUUGCUCAAGGUUUGCAUAGCUACCACUAAACCCCAAAGCCCAGAUUUGAACUUAAAGUCUUCCUAACUGCAGACAGGGCACUAUAUCCACUGUAUUAUCUGCUGCUCCAGGGGGAACAAUGCAAGUGGUCAAUGAAUGACUUUAUUUUUUUAAACCCUUAUCUUCCGUCUUAGAAUCCAAAUGAAGUCUUAGUUGCAAGGCAGAAGAGCAGGCAAGGACUAGGCAUUGGGAUUAAGUGACAUGGGCAGGUUCACCUAGCUAGGAAGUGUCUGAGGUCAAAUUUGAACUCAGCACCCCCUUUUUUCUCCAGAUCUGCCUCUCUAUCCACUGAGACAGCAAUGGUCUUCUGACUGAUGUUUUCUUUUGUACAGUGGGUAUGAGAAAGCAAGGGAGAAUGCUACUCUCUGUAUGUUAUUUGUUUUAAGUCCUAAAAAACCAAGAUGCCCCUGAGGAACUCGGAAGCAACAAGUGUCCUCUUUCACUACCAAGGAUAUUAAAUACCUGGGGAAGAACCAGAACAUUAGAAUUGUACUUAACCUAUUUCAAAGCCUUCUAUGAGUUGUCAGCCAUGUAAUAAGAUUUCUCCUGUGCCUUCCCAAAUCCACCUGGAGUUCAUCUGCAGAAUUUUUCAGCAAACUGAAAUUUUGAGGAAAAAUGAAAUGACUUUUUAUGUCAUGGUGUAUUUUAAUGAUUAUUAUUCUAUAUUAUUUUAUAUUGUUAUUCAUUAUCCAUGAUUUCCAGAAAUAUGUUCCAUGCAUUACCAUGAAAAGAGAAUCUUGAGAGGGUAUUCUGUUAAGUGUCAUAGAAUCACGUUUUUGUGCGAAAAAGAUCUUCAGUAGAGAUCUUCUCAUCUAGACCCCUCCCUUUAUUUUUUACAAAUGAGGAAGACCCAGAAAAAUUCAAUAAUUCACAGAGCCCCAAUUCUCUGCCUCCUCAUCCAGCCCUCUUCACACCGUGCUGUCAUUCUCGCCCCAAAUUUUUCUUUUGAAUGGUGUUUUCCUUUCUGUUGAAUCAUCUAGCAAUGAUUUCUGACACCUGAGUACAAGUGGAGUGUGAAUUGACCCAAAAGGGGCAGGGAAGGUAGCGGCGGUCCAGAGACCGGAGUUGGAGUCCCGACUUUGGCCCUUAUUAGCUGUGUAAACUGGAAUAUUCGUUUCUUGUUUCCUAAUCUGAAAAAUGGAAAAGGUUGGACUUGUUGAACUCAGGGGGCUUUCCAGGUCCGAAAUCCUCCCAAUUUAAAUGGUUUCUUCUGCUCUUCUGGCCCUUUGGCGCCCUCUGGCGGCAGUGCUAACGAGUGGCCGGAAGAAGGGAGAGGGACUCCCAGAAGGACCCCAUUCGCACCCUCGCUAAGCCUGGCCAGGAAGAAUUUGGGAGGGCAACCAUCACAACACAGUCCUGUAAAACAGAUUUUUAUGAAGCACAUUUGUACCGUUAAGAGCCAAGAGAAACCCGAGGAAACCUUAGGAAAAGUCAGCUCACCCCCUCAUGCAUUUUAAAAUCAUGUUUCCUGAUCUUUUGAGUCACGUCAAAUAGUAAGCUUUCAAAAACUGUUAAAACCCCGUCUUGCAGCGGAAUCCACGUUAAGCCCCUCCCCUCCCCUCCCCUCCCCUCCCCCCUUCCCCCUCAACCUGCUAUGAAAUCUGUAGAGCAGAUGAAGCUCUGCCUUCGGGGAAGGAGAGAGCUGGCUGUUGAGGGCCACAGUUACACGUGGUUUUUCCAAGAAUUCCUCCCCUCUUUGGUGGACUGUAGCUUCUGGGCCUUAAGGUUCAUUGCUUUUAAUGGCCUCUAGAGAGCCAUGGGGGAGGCUGACAGGGAGUUUUAUAUGGUAAUACAAGCAGAAGACUUCAUAACGGUUGAAUGUUUGCUCUAUGUCUAUGGUUUUACAAACUAGCCAUGAGGUGAUACUUUUUUUCUCCCAUAGCAUCUCCUUGAAACUGUCUAUAAAUUUGGAGGUACAGAGAGACCCAGAUAACUACCUGAAUCUAGGUUAGAAAAUUAUUUUUAGGAAUAGCUGGGUGACUUUGUGGAUAGAGAGCAAGGUCUCAAAAUGGAAGAUUCUGGGUUCAAAUCUGACUUAAGACACUUCCUUGGGCAAGUCACUUAACACCCAUGGUCUAGCCUUUACCACCGCUCUUCUGCCUUAGAACCAAUAUACAACAUUGAUUCUAAGAUGGAAGGUUAAAAAAUAUUUUUUUAAUCAUUGUUAUAUCCUUGACUCACAAAACUCAUUUCCUAUAUUUAUCAUAUUCACAAAACUCAUUUUAUGUAUUCAUGUUUCAUAUAUUCAUAUAUUGUUUCCACCAAACUCUUUUAGAGAUUAAUUAAUAGUUAAUAAACAUUUAUUGUCUCUGGAGUGCCAGGCACAGUGCUAAGCAAUGGGAUAUAAAUAAGAAAAAGGGAAAGAUGAUCUCUGCUCUCAGGGAGCUUACAAUAUUUAGGGGGCAGGCAGUACCCAAAAGGAGGAGGUGACUGGGUUGGAACCCCAAAGAGAUAAUAAUAAAAAUGUCUGUAUGAAAACCUUUCUAGCCACGCUCUCUGAGGUGGCAAAAAAUUGGAAAAUGAGGGAAUGCCCCUCGAUUGGGGAAUGGCUGAACAAAUUGUGGUAUCUGAUGGUGAUAGAAUAUUAUUGUGCUGUAAGGAAUGAUGAAGUGGAGGAUUUCUGUAUGAAUUUGGAGAACCUCCAGGAACUGAUGCAGAGUGAAAGGAGCAGAACCAGGAAAACAAUGUACACAGAGAUCAAUACAUUAUGGUAAAAUCGAAUGUAAUGGACUUCUCUACUAGCAGCAAUGCAAUGAUCCAGGACACUCCUGAGGGACUUAUGAGAAAGAGCACUAUCCACAUCCAGAGGAAGAACUAUGGGAGCAGAAAUGCAGAAGAAAAACAUAUGAUCGAUCACUUAUCACUUGUAUAUUUGAGUAUAUGAAUUGGGGUUUUAGCUUUAAAAGAUCGCUCUAUAGCAAAAAUGAAUAAUAUGAAAAUAGGUAUCAAGUGAUGACAUUUAUACAAUCAGUGGAAUUGCUUGUCUUCUCUGGGAUGGGUGGGGGAGAGGGGAGGGAAAGAAAAUGAAUCAUGUCAAUAUGGAAAAGUAUUUUAACAAUAAAGAGGAAGAGAUAUAAAGGGAGGGGUGAAAGGGGUGCAGAGAAGGGACCCAACACUGUAGCAAGGUCAGAAAUUAUUCCAGAGUAGUGGAACCAGGUGAGAAAAGAGAUGUGAGCUGAGCUCCCCCCCUAAAAUGAAGAUUUGGGAGCUCUUGGUUUCACUUUUCAUCAGAGAUUUAGAGGGUGGUAGGCUGGGCUGAUGGGACCUUAGUGGUGGACUGGGUCAGAUCUGUGCUUUAAGAUCAGUUUGCCAGUUAAAGGGAGGAUGGACUGGAGUUGCUAGGUAACUUGAAAGCAUUUGAUUUAACAAUUUAAACAUCAUUUGUAACUUUGUAGAAAGCUAUUAAGUUGAAUAAUGAGGUCCUAAGCAAGACUAUAGAGAGUUAAGAAGAAAGAGAGAUACAAAGAAAUAGAGGCAUCAGUUCUAGAUGGGCUUCUCAAGAAGUUUAGCUACAUAAUCUGGAAUUAUACCCAAAGACUUAAACAAAUGUGUAUACCUUUUGACCCAGCAAUACCACUCUUUGGUUUGUUUCCUAAGGUGAUGGGGAGAAAGGAAAAAAACACUAUAUGUUCUAGAAUAUUUAUAGCAGCUCUAAGAAUUGGAAAUUGAAGGGGAAUGACUAAACAGUUUAUGGCAUAUGACUGAAAGAAUAAUACUGUACCAUAAAAAGUAGAGUGACUUUGUGGUGGCAAAAAAUUGGAAAAUGAGGGGAUGCCCUUCAAUUGGGGAUUGGCUGAACAAAUUGUAUAUGUUGGUGAUGGGAUACUAUUGUGCUCAAAGGAAUAAUGAACUGGAGGAAUUCCAUGGGAACUGAAAAAACCUCCAGGAAGUGAUGCAGAGUGAAAGGAGCAGAACCAAGAGAUUAUACACAGAGACUGAUACACUGUGGUACAAUCGAAUGUAAUGAACUUCUCCAUUAGUUGCAAUGCAGUGAUCCUGAACAACUUGGAGAAAUCUAUGAGAAAAAACAUUAUCCACAUUCAGAGGAAAAACUGUGAGAGUAAAAACACCAAAGAAAAACAACUGCUUGAAUACAUGGGUCCAGGGGAUAGUGCUGGGGAUGUAGACUCUAAAUGAACAUCUUAGUGCAAACAUCAACAGCAUGGAAAGAGGUUCUGAUCAAGGACACGUGUAAUACCCAGUGGAAUUGCCCAUCCGCUACGGGAAGGGCAGAGGGAGGGGAGAGAGGGAAAUAAUAUGAUUCUUGUAACCAAGGAAUAAGGUUACAAUUUGACUAAAUAAAUAAAUUUAAAAAUCAUUAGAACUUGAAAAAAAAAGUAAUAGUCUUAUUUCAAUGGAAUAUAAGCAUAAUUUUAAUGAAUAAAAUGAACUAAUUGCUAAAAAAAGUAAUGAGCGGGUUAAUGAAAAAAAAAUCAUGGAAAGACCUACAUGAAAUUAGGAAGAGUGAAACAAGAAAAACCAAGAAAAUAUUAUAUAUAGCAGCAGAAUAUUGUUUGAAGAAUGACUCAUGUGUGUCUACUUCCAGAGAAAGAACUGAUAAAUUGAAAUAAAUAAGACAUGGUUUUAUAUAUA